rfam:Anopheles sinensis unplaced genomic scaffold AS2_scf7180000696049, whole genome shotgun sequence.
CUGUAAAUGAUGAUAAACUUUACUUAUUUACUAUCUGAUUGGAGCUGGCACGGUCUGUUUUAGACAGCCUUUUCCAUUUUAAAGAUGACUCUACGAGGCAUUUGUCUGAUAUAAUA